rnacentral:rRNA from 1 species
CCUACGGGGGGCAGCAGUGAGGAAUAUUGGUCAAUGGGCGCAAGCCUGAACCAGCCAAGUCGCGUGAGGGAUGACGGUCCUAUGGAUUGUAAACCUCUUUUGUCGGGGAGCAAGGCCCGCCACGUGUGGCGGGAAGGAGAGUACCCGAAGAAAAAGCAUCGGCUAACUCCGUGCCAGCAGCCGCGGUAAUACGGAGGAUGCGAGGUGUAUCCGGAUUUAUUGGGUUUAAAGGGUGCGUAGGCGGAAGGUUAAGUCAGCGGUAAAAUGUCGGUGCUCAACACCGGCCUGCCGUUGAAACUGGUCUUCUUGAGUGAGCGAGAAGUAUGCGGAAUGCGUGGUGUAGCGGUGAAAUGCAUAGAUAUCACGCAGAACUCCGAUUGCGAAGGCAGCAUACCGGCGCUCAACUGACGCUGAGGCAUGAAAGCGUGGGGAUCGAACAGGAUUAGAUACCCCGGUAGUC